rnacentral:rRNA from 1 species
UACAGAGGUCUCAAGCGUUGUUCGGAUUCAUUGGGCGUAAAGGGUGCGUAGGCGGCGCGGUAAGUCGGGUGUGAAAUCUCGGAGCUUAACUCCGAAACUGCACUCGAUACUGCCGUGCUUGAGGACUGGAGAGGAGACUGGAAUUUACGGUGUAGCGGUGAAAUGCGUAGAUAUCGUAAGGAAGACCAGUGGCGAAGGCGGCAUCCUGGACCGGUAUUGACGCUGAGGCGCGAAAGCUAGGGGAGCAAACGGG